AUUGAACGCUGGCGGCAUGCCUUACACAUGCAAGUCGAACGGCAGCGGGGGAGAAGCUUGCUUUUCCUGCCGGCGAGUCGCGAACGGGUGAGUAAUACAUCGGAACGUGCCCUGUAGUGGGGGAUAACUAGUCGAAAGAUUAGCUAAUACCGCAUACAACCUGAGGGUGAAAGUGGGGGACCGCAAGGCCUCAUGCUAUAGGAGCGGCCGAUGUCUGAUUAGCUAGUUGGUGGGGUAAAGGCCUACCAAGGCGACGAUCAGUAGCUGGUCUGGGAGGACGAUCAGCCACACUGGGACUGAGACACGGCCCAGACUCCUACGGGAGGCAGCAGUGGGGAAUUUUGGACAAUGGGCGAAAGCCUGAUCCAGCAAUGCCGCGUGUGUGAAGAAGGCCUUCGGGUUGUAAAGCACUUUUGUCCGGAAAGAAAUGGCUCUGGUUAAUACCUGGGGUCGAUGACGGUACCGGAAGAAUAAGGACCGGCUAACUACGUGCCAGCCGCCGCGGUAA
rnacentral:rRNA from 1 species